rnacentral:rRNA from 1 species
CAGCAGCCGCGGUAAUACGAAGGGGGCUAGCGUUGUUCGGAAUUACUGGGCGUAAAGGGCGCGUAGGCGGCCAUUCAAGUUAGAUGUGAAAGCCCUGGGCUCAACCUAGGAAUUGCAUUUGAUACUGUUUGGCUUGAGUUCGGGAGAGGUGAGUGGAAUUCCCAGUGUAGAGGUGAAAUUCGUAGAUAUUGGGAAGAACACCAGUGGCGAAGGCGGCUCACUGGACCAUUUCUGACGCUGAUGCACGAAAGCUAGGGGAGCAAACAGGAUUAGAUACCCGAGUAGUCCCUGUCUCUUAUAC